rnacentral:rRNA from 1 species
AACGCUAGCUACAGGCUUAACACAUGCAAGUCGAGGGGCAGCAUCAUCAAAGCUUGCUUUGAUGGAUGGCGACCGGCGCACGGGUGAGUAACACGUAUCCAACCUGCCGACAACACUGGGAUAGCCUUUCGAAAGAAAGAUUAAUACCCGAUGGCAUAGUUCUUCCGCAUGGUAGAACUAUUAAAGAAUUUCGGUCAUCGAUGGGGAUGCGUUCCGUUAGGUUGUUGGCGGGGUAACGGCCCACCAAGCCUUCGAUGGAUAGGGGUUCUGAGAGGAAGGUCCCCCACAUUGGAACUGAGACACGGUCCAAACUCCUACGGGAGGCAGCAGUGAGGAAUAUUGGUCAAUGGACGAGAGUCUGAACCAGCCAAGUAGCGUGAAGGAUGACUGCCCUAUGGGUUGUAAACUUCUUUUAUACGGGAAUAAAGUGAGGCACGUGUGCCUUUUUGUAUGUACCGUAUGAAUAAGGAUCGGCUAACUCCGUGCCAGCAGCCGCGGUAAUACGGAGGAUCCGAGCGUUAUCCGGAUUUAUUGGGUUUAAAGGGAGCGUAGGCGGACGCUUAAGUCAGUUGUGAAAGUUUGCGGCUCAACCGUAAAAUUGCAGUUGAUACUGGGUGUCUUGAGUACAGUAGAGGCAGGCGGAAUUCGUGGUGUAGCGGUGAAAUGCUUAGAUAUCACGAAGAACUCCGAUUG